CUACGGGUGGCACCAGUGGGGAAUAUUGCACAAUGGAGGAAACUCUGAUGCAGCAACGCCGCGUGGAGGAUGACACUUUUCGGAGCGUAAACUCCUUUUAUAUAGGAAGAAGAUGACGGUACUAUAUGAAUAAGCGCCGGCUAACUCCGUGCCAGCAGCCGCGGUAAUACGGAGGGCGCAAGCGUUACUCGGAAUCACUGGGCGUAAAGAGCGUGUAGGCGGAUUAAAAAGUCAGAAGUGAAAUCCUAUAGCUUAACUAUAGAACUGCUUCUGAAACUCUUAAUCUAGAAUAUGGGAGAGGUAGAUGGAAUUUCUGGUGUAGGGGUAAAAUCCGUAGAGAUCAGAAGGAGUACCGAUUGCGAAGGCGAUCUACUAGAACAUUAUUGACGCUGAGACGCGAAAGCGUGGGGAGCAGACAGGAUUAGAUACCCCAGUAGUC
rnacentral:rRNA from 1 species